AAAAGUGGCAAGCUUUACCAUUAAGUAGCAGACUCAUCAAUUGACAAAAGAAAUAGAGGCUAUGUGGUUGAUAGCUCUUGUAUUGCAGCUGAUACACUUUGGAUGAGUGAUGCAGAAAGAGUCAACUGUCCUCCCUAGAAUAUGAGGAGCCAAAUAUAGGUAGAGAUGAGAUGAACCACCCAUGGCCCACUCCAUGCCCUCAUCUUGUGCCCGUGAAAACUGCAGGCUCAGCCAGCAAAGGCAGGAGAAGCAGCUGGACAUCAGAGAGAAGUGCCUUACUUCAGAGGGACAGCUCGACGGUGUAAAUUUCAAGAAGAAUCCCAGGAGACAGCUGGACUUUGAGGGAAGAUUACCUUCCUUCUCUGUCUGCUUUUCAGCUCCUCUUCCCUCUGAGAGCCACGUCCAACAGCAAUAAAAUCCCCCACAUUUACCAUCCU
rnacentral:lncRNA from 10 species